ACGGGUGAGUAACGCGUAAGUAAUCUACCCCUGUAUCUGGAAUAACCUACCGAAAGGUGAGCUAAUACCGGAUACGUUUGCGAUGACGCGAGUUGUUGCACAGAAAGGAGGCCUCUGCAUAUGCUUCCGUACAGGGAUGAGCUUGCGUACCAUUAGCUAGUUGGCAGGGUAAUGGCCUACCAAGGCGACGAUGGUUAGCGGGUCUGAGAGGAUGAUCCGCCACACUGGAACUGGAACACGGACCAGACUCCUACGGGAGGCAGCAGUGAGGAAUAUUGCGCAAUGGGGGAAACCCUGACGCAGCGACGCCGCGUGGAUGAUGAAGGCCCUUGGGUCGUAAAAUCCUGUCAGAUGGAAAGAAGUGUUAUGGAGCUAAUACCUUCAUAGCUUGACGGUACCAUCAAAGGAAGCACCGGCUAACUCCGUGCCAGCAGCCGCGGUAAUACGGAGGGUGCAAGCGUUGUUCGGAAUUACUGGGCGUAAAGCGCGCGUAGGCGGUUUGAUCAGUCAGAUGUGAAAGUCCCCGGCUCAACCGUGGAAGUGCAUUUGAAACUGUCAGACUUGAGUAUUGGAGGGGGUGGUGGA
rnacentral:rRNA from 1 species